AUUGACCGCUGGCGGCGUGCUUUACACAUGCAAGUCGGACGAGUGGCGAACGGGUGAGUAACGCAUCGGAACGUACCGAGUAAUGGGGGAUAACUGUCCGAAAGGACAGCUAAUACCGCAUAUUAUUCGCGCGGCCGAUGUCUGAUUGGCUGGUUGGCGGGGUAAAGGCCCACCAAGGCGACGAUCAGUAGCGGGUCUGAGAGGAUGCCCGGCCACACUGGGACUUGGCCACGGCCCUGACGCCUGCGGGAGGCAGCAGUGGGGAAUUUUGGGCAGUGGGGGCGAGCAUGAUCCAGCCAUGCCGCGUGUCUGAAGAAGGCCUUCGGGUUGUAAAGGACUUUUGUCAGGGAAGCGGUACCUGAAGAAUAAGCACCGGCUAACUACGUGCCAGCAGCCGCGGUAAUAC
rnacentral:rRNA from 1 species